AUUAUUGGGCGUAAGGGCUCGCAGGCGGCUUUCUUAAGUCUGAUGUGAAAGCCCACCCUUAACAUAGGGGGAGGGUCAUUGGAAACUGGGAAACUUGAGUCCUCAAAAGAGGAGAGAUGGAAUUCCACGUGUAGCGGUGAAAUGCGUAGAGAUGUGGAGGAACACCAGUGGCGAAGGCGACUCUCUGGUCUGUAACUGACGCUGAGGAGCGAAAGCGUGGGGAGCGAACAGGAUUAGAUACCCUGGUAGUCCACGCCGUAAACGAUGAGUGCUAAGUGUUAGGGGGUUUCCGCCCCUUAGUGCUGCAGCUAACGCAUUAAGCACUCCGCCUGGGGAGUACGGUCGCAAGACUGAAACUCAAAGGAAUUGACGGGGGCCCGCACAAGCGGUGGAGCAUGUGGUUUAAUUCGAAGAAACGCGAAGAACCUCACCAGGUCUUGACAUCCCCUGACAAACCUCGAAAUUGGGCGGGCGUUUCGGGAACACAACAACUGGUGGGGCAUGGCUGUCGUCAGCUCGUGUCACCAGAAGUUCCAUUAAGUCCGCCAACGAGCGCCACUCUUGAUCUUUGUUGCCCUUGUUACCGUGGUCCCUCUGAGGAGAGUGCCGUGUGACUAGCUGCAGGACGGUGGGG
rnacentral:rRNA from 1 species